UCGAGAAUCUUUCUCAAUGGGCGCAAGCCUGAAGGAGCGACGCCGCGUGGGGGAUGAAGGGCUUCGGCCUGUAAACCCCUGUCAUUUGCGAACAAGGUCGGCAGUUUAAGAGACAGUCGGCUUGAUGGUAGCGAAAGAGGAAGGGACGGCUAACUCUGUGCCAGCAGCCGCGGUAAUACAGAGGUCCCAAGCGUUGUUCGGAUUCACUGGGCGUAAAGGGUGCGUAGGUGGUGGGGAAAGUUCGAUGUGAAAGCUCCGAGCUUAACUCGGAAAUGGCAUUGAAAACUACCUUGCUCGAGGGUUGGAGGGGGGACUGGAAUUCUCGGUGUAGCAGUGAAAUGCGUAGAUAUCGAGAGGAACACCAGUGGCGAAGGCGAGUCCCUGGACAACUCCUGACACUGAGGCACGAAAGCUAGGGGAGCAAACAG
rnacentral:rRNA from 1 species